GGGGAUGUGGCUCAAGCGGUAGGGCGCUUGUCUGGCAUGCAUGCGACCCGGGUUCGAUCCUCAGCAUCACAU
rfam:Ictidomys tridecemlineatus contig010195, whole genome shotgun sequence.